rnacentral:rRNA from 1 species
AGUGAACGCUGGCGGUAGGCCUAACACAUGCAAGUCGAACGGCAGCACAGUAAGAGCUUGCUCUUACGGGUGGCGAGUGGCGGACGGGUGAGGAAUACAUCGGAAUCUACUUUUUCGUGGGGGAUAACGUAGGGAAACUUACGCUAAUACCGCAUACGCCCUACGGGUGAAAGCAGGGGAUCUUCGGACCUUGCGCGAUUGAAUGAGCCGAUGUCGGAUUAGCUAGUUGGCGGGGUAAUGGCCCACCAAGGCGACGAUCCGUAGCUGGUCUGAGAGGAUGAUCAGCGACACUGGAACUGAGACACGGUCCAGACUCCUACGGGAGGCAGCAGUGGGGAAUAUUGGGCAAUGGGGGCAAGCCUGAUCCAGCGAUACCGCGUGUGUGAAGAAGGCCUUCGGGUUGUAAAGCCCUUUUGUUGGGAAAGAACAGCAGCAGGUUAAUACCCCGCUGUUCUGACGGUACCCAAAGAAUAAGCACCGGCUAACUUCGUG